CUGGAUAUUCACUAGAAGCACUGAAUCUGAAGCUGAAGUUCCAAGACUUUGGCCACCUGAUGUGAAGAACCGACACAUUGGAUAAGACCCUAAGGCUGGAAAAGAUUGAAGGUUAUGCAUCUUUCUCAAUCAACAUGGGCACCGGCUGCUGGGCACAGUGGGCGUGUGGUCCCCCAGCCAUCAUCAACCGAGGCAGGGAUGAGGAGACAGUGGCUCUUGGGCCAGAGGCCGACUCCCACCAGGACCCCGUCUGCUGGGACCGGACACCCGAGACCAGAAGCAGGACCCACACCACCCACGAGACCAGAGACGAGAGCAGUACGGUACCUCCCUCCUCCUGCACCGGCUUGGCC